rfam:Triticum aestivum genome assembly, contig: Triticum_aestivum_CS42_TGACv1_scaffold_146330_2BS
CUCGUACUCCCUCUAUCCCGAAAUACUUGUUGAAGAAAUGAAUAAAAUUAGAUAUAUCUAUAACUAAAAUACGUCUAGAUUCAUCCAUUUUCUCCAACAAGUAUUUUCGGACGGAGGAAGUAUUUG